UACGUAGGGGGCAAGCGUUAUCCGGAUUUACUGGGUGUAAAGGGAGCGUAGACGGCAGCGCAAGUCUGGAGUGAAAUGCCGGGGCCCAACCCCGGAACUGCUCUGGAAACUGUGAAGCUGGAGUGCAGGAGAGGCAGGCGGAAUUCCCGGUGUAGCGGUGGAAUGCGUAGAUAUCGGGAGGAACACCAGUGGCGAAGGCGGCCUGCUGGACAUUAACUGACGCUGAGGCGCGAAAGCGUGGGGAGCAAACAGG
rnacentral:rRNA from 1 species